AUUGAACGCUGGCGGAAUGCUUUACACAUGCAAGUCGAGCGGCAGCGCGGGGCAACCUGGCGGCGAGCGGCGAACGGGUGAGUAAUACAUCGGAACGUGCCCAGACGUGGGGGAUAACUACUCGAAAGAGUGGCUAAUACCGCAUACGAUCUACGGAUGAAAGCGGGGGAUCGCAAGACCUCGCGCGUCUGGAGCGGCUGAUGGCAGAUUAGGUAGUUGGUGGGAUAAAAGCCUACCAAGCCAACGAUCUGUAGCUGGUCUGAGAGGAUGAUCAGCCACACUGGGACUGAGACACGGCCCAGACUCCUACGGGAGGCAGCAGUGGGGAAUUUUGGACAAUGGGCGAAAGCCUGAUCCAGCCAUUCCGCGUGCAGGAUGAAGGCCU
rnacentral:rRNA from 1 species